GUGUCAGCAGCCGCGGUAAUACGGAGGGUGCAAGCGUUAUCCGGAAUCACUGGGUUUAAAGGGUGCGUAGGCGGUUUGAUAAGUCAGUGGUGAAAGCUCAUCGCUCAACGAUGAAAUUGCCAUUGAUACUGUCAGACUUGAAUUAGGAUAAGGUAAGCGGAAUGUGGCAUGUAGCGGUGAAAUGCAUAGAUAUGCCAUAGAACACCAAUUGCGAAGGCAGCUUACUGGGCCUUGAUUGACGCUGAGGCACGAAAGCGUGGGGAUCAAACAGGAUUAGAAACCCCCGUAGUCC
rnacentral:rRNA from 1 species